rnacentral:misc_RNA from 1 species
GAAAUGCGAUAAGUAGUGUGAAUUGCAGAAUUCAGUGAAUCAUCGAAUCUUUGAACGCACAUUGCGCCCUUUGGUAUUCCUUAGGGCAUGCCUGUUCGAGCGUCAUUUAAACCUUCAAGCUCAGCUUGGUGUUGGGUGACUGUCCCCCCCUCGCGGGGGGACUCGCCUCAAAAACAUUGGCGGCCGGUACAUUGGCUUCGAGCGCAGCAGAAACGCGGUCUCGAGUCCUGUGGAUCGGCUCCCAUAAGCCUCUUCUUUUAUUUUGACCUCGGAUCAGGUAGGGAUACCCGCUGAACUUAAGC